rnacentral:rRNA from 1 species
GACGAACGCUGGCGGCGUGCCUAAUACAUGCAAGUCGAACGCAGUGGGGACGGGUGAGUAACACGUGGGUAACCUCCCAUCAGAGGGGAUAACACUUGGAAACAGGUGCUAAACCGAUACUGAUGGAUGGACCCGCGGUGCAUUAGCUAGUGGGUGGGGUAACGGCUCACCAAGGCCACGAUGCAUAGCUGGGCGGAGAGGGUGAUCGGCCACACUGGGACUGAGACACGGCCCAGACUCCGACGGGAGGCAGCAGUGGGGAAUCUUGGGCAAUGGGCGAAAGUCUGACGGAGCAAGGCCGCGUGAGUGAAGAAGGUUGUCGGGUCGUAAAGCUCUGUGGUUGGGGAAGCGGUAUCUAACCAGAAAGCCACGGCUAACUACGUGCCAGCAGCCGCGGUAAUUC